CGCCUUCUCUUUUUUUGCUGUUUCUGUUGGUGGAUCCUAUGGCUCAGAGCCGCAGCUCCGUGCAGAGUUGGAGGCCGUGGUCUUCGUCCACCGGCGCCGGGAGGUUGAGGUCGAGCCCGAGCGGCGCGCGCGACCGGACCGUGGAGGCGUCGUCGCCGUCGUCCACGACGGAGGCCGACGAGGCGCAGUCGCUGUGGCAGUCGGCCUCGGGCGCCGCCUUCCGCGGGGGACGCGGCUUUACCAACCGCCUGCUGCUUCGAGGAGCCACCGCCGUCGUCCCUGCCGCCGCCCUGGGCUGCGCCCCACGGGGCCCGCUGGAGGACUCGACGGUGGAGCUGGAGCUGCACGUGGGCGCGGCCGGCGCCGGCGCGACGGGGCGUGAUGCCAGCGGGAGGCGGGAGGCGGCGGAGGGGAAGUUGGUCCUGGCUAGGGGCCCGCGCAGGGUCCGCGCGGCGACGUCGUAGGCCCGCGCGGCGGCCUCGGCGGAGUCGAAGGUGCCGAGCCAGACGCGCGCGCGCUUGGCCGGGUCGCGGAUCUCCGCCGCGAACCGGCCCCACGGCCGCUUCCGCACGCCCCUGUACCGCGGCGCU
rnacentral:lncRNA from 1 species